rnacentral:rRNA from 1 species
AUUGAACGCUGGCGGCAGGCUUAACACAUGCAAGUCGAGCGGGGUGAUGGUGCUUGCACUAUCACUUAGCGGCGGACGGGUGAGUAAUGCUUAGGAAUCUGCCUAUUAGUGGGGGACAACAUCUCGAAAGGGAUGCUAAUACCGCAUACGUCCUACGGGGGAAAGCAGGGGAUCACUUGUGACCUUGCGCUAAUAGGUGAGCCUAAGUCGGAUUAGCUAGUUGGUGGGGUAAAAGCCUACCAAGGCGACGAUCUGUAGCGGGUCUGAGAGGAUGAUCCGCCACACUGGGACUGAGACACGGCCCAGACUCCUACGGGAGGCAGCAGUGGGGAAUAUUGGACAAUGGGGGGAACCCUGAUCCAGCCAUGCCGCGUGUGUGAAGAAGGCCUUAUGGUUGUAAAGCACUUUAAGCGAGGAGGAGGCUCUUUUGGUUAAUACCCAAGAUGAGUGGACGUUACUCGCAGAAUAAGCACCGGCUAACCCUGUGCCAGCCGCCGCCGUAA